AUUGAACGCUGGCGGCAUGCCUUACACAUGCAAGUCGAACGGCAGCAUAGGAGCUUGCUCCUGAUGGCGAGUGGCGAACGGGUGAGUAAUAUAUCGGAACGUGCCCUAGAGUGGGGGAUAACUAGUCGAAAGGCUAGCUAAUACCGCAUACGAUCUACGGAUGAAAGUGGGGGAUCGCAAGACCUCAUGCUCCUGGAGCGGCCGAUAUCUGAUUAGCUAGUUGGUGGGGUAAAAGCCUACCAAGGCAACGAUCAGUAGCUGGUCUGAGAGGACGACCAGCCACACUGGGACUGAGACACGGCCCAGACUCCUACGGGAGGCAGCAGUGGGGAAUUUUGGACAAUGGGGGCAACCCUGAUCCAGCAAUGCCGCGUGAGUGAAGAAGGCCUUCGGGUUGUAAAGCUCUUUUGUCAGGGAAGAAACGGUAGUAGCGAAUAACUACUACUAAUGACGGUACCUGAAGAAUAAGCACCGGCUAACUACGUGCCAGCAGCCGCGGUAAUACGUAGGGUGCAAGCGUUAAUCGGAAUUACUGGGCGUAAAGCGUGCGCAGGCGGUUGUGUAAGUCAGAUGUGAAAUCCCCGGGCUCAACCUGGGAAUUGCAUUUGAGACUGCACGGCUAGAGUGUGUCAGAGGGGGGUAGAAUUCCACGUGUAGCAGUGAAAUGCGUAGAUAUGUGGAGGAAUACCGAUGGCGAAGGCAGCCCCCUGGGAUAACACUGACGCCCAUGCACGAAAGCGUGGGGAGCAAACAGG
rnacentral:rRNA from 1 species